CGGGGUGUGGCUCAGUUUGGUAGAGCACCUGGUUUGGGACCAGGGGGUCGCAGGUUCGAAUCCUGUCACCCCGA
rnacentral:tRNA from 1 species